AUUGAACGCUGGCGGCAGGCCUAACACAUGCAAGUCGAGCGGAUGAAGGGAGCUUGCUCCUGGAUUCAGCGGCGGACGGGUGAGUAAUGCCUAGGAAUCUGCCUGGUAGUGGGGGAUAACGUCCGGAAACGGGCGCUAAUACCGCAUACGUCCUGAGGGAGAAAGUGGGGGAUCUUCGGACCUCACGCUAUCAGAUGAGCCUAGGUCGGAUUAGCUAGUUGGUGGGGUAAAGGCCUACCAAGGCGACGAUCCGAAACUGGUCUGAGAGGAUGAUCAGUCACACUGGAACUGAGACACGGUCCAGACUCCUACGGGAGGCAGCAGGGGGGAAUUUUGGAAAAUGGGCGAAAGCCUGAUCCAGCCAUGCCGGGGGGGUGAAGAAGGUCUUCGGAUUGUAAAGCACUUUAAGUUGGGAGGAAGGGCAGUAAGUUAAUCCCUUGCUGUUUUGACGUUACCAACAGAAUAAGCACCGGCUAACUUCGU
rnacentral:rRNA from 1 species